AUUGACACCACAAGGUCAGCUGGUCCAAUCAGCUGACACCCAUCAGCUGGUGACAAUUUAAAAGGCAACCUGCAGACAAGAGAAAAAAAAAAUUAAAAAAAGAACACACACACAUAUGUCCACCAACACAUACCUUGAGGGUCAUGCUGACAAGGAGUUUCAGUAAAAGGCUACACAGAUUUGUGGAAGAGGGGGACACACUUCAUGUAGAAAUAAAGAGUUGUUGGUCCUUGAGUCAGCAGAGGUCCAUCCAUGAAUUCUUGAUAGCCAUUCCUACAUGGCUUACGGCAGUGACCUUAAAUCAAGCAAAAGAAGAAGGCUGCAGUGCUGCCCUCCCUCCAAGAUUACUCAAGGCUGACCUCAUUUAACCAACAUCUCCUGCAAACAAGUCAACGAUGAAACCUCCCGCUGUGGCAAAUUAAUGUUCUCUGGCAUGGAAUAACUUCUUGAGAGUUAAUAAGACGUGCUGUCCAAAGGAUGUGCUGCAUGCUGGAAUGUUGUGGAGCAUACCAAGUAAGCACUUCACAAAGGAAAAUAUAUGCUUAAAUUCUGUUUUAAAAAUCCUAUGAAAGAGUCUUUCAUCCUCAGAACUCGCGGCCCGACUCUGCUGCCCCUCCUUCUGCCUGCCUUGUCAUGCCACUGCUCGGCUCAUAUGCCAGAUCUACAGCCCAAGGCAGCAAAUGAGUCAUGUCUGCAUGCAUUCAACCAGGUCUCACAACCAGGUGUCACUGGAACAGUGGCAGCCCUGCAGGCUGCAGGGAAAAAGGUGACCAUUCUGAGGAAAUCCAUCUAUCAAUACUGACAACAGACACACUGUUUAUUUGGCAAUCGGCUUUACCAGAGUGUUUUGCUCACUUCUGUGUUCAGCCUGUUUGUGCCCCGUGAUCUCCUGCAGAUUAAAAGUUACAAACCAAAUCAUCGUUUUUGCCAAAAAGAAAAAAAUAUAUAUUUACAUUCUGU